rnacentral:rRNA from 1 species
UACGUAGGGGGCUAGCGUUGUCCGGAUUUAUUGGGCGUAAAGAGCGUGUAGGCGGCCAGGUAGGUCUGCUGUGAAAACUCGAGGCUCAACCUCGAGACGUCGGCGGAAACCAUCUGGCUAGAGUCCGGAAGAGGAGAGUGGAAUUCCUGGUGUAGCGGUGAAAUGCGCAGAUAUCAGGAAGAACACCCGUGGCGAAGGCGGCUCUCUGGGGACGGUACUGGACGCUGAGACGCGAAAGCGUGGGGAGCGAACAGG